rnacentral:sRNA from 1 species
UGAAGGCAUACUUUCAGGAGUGAGGGUAGAGCGGGGUUUCCCCCGCCCUGGUAGUCUUAGUAAGCCGGGAAGCUUAUGACUAAGAGCACCACGAUGAUGAUCCACUUCAUCAUGACCCUUUCCUUAUU